GCUGCUGGACCGCCUUUCUUUAUCUCUGUUGGUCACGUCUCACUUGAUCUUUGAAUAAAACCAACAUUUAGUUGCUAUUUUUAUCAUAUUUCCAUCGGUAUUAUCAUGUUUUGGUGCCACUGGCAGAACUCUGAACCCCAAACCAUAUAAAAAAAAUAAAUAAAAAAAGCACGUCCAUCUUGCUAGUCGUUUGCUUGAUUAUCCCCUUAAGGACCGG